AGUGAACGCUGGCGGUAGGCCUAACACAUGCAAGUCGAACGGCAGCACAGUAAGAGCUUGCUCUUACGGGUGGCGAGUGGCGGACGGGUGAGGAAUACAUCGGAAUCUACUUUUUCGUGGGGGAUAACGUAGGGAAACUUACGCUAAUACCGCAUACGACCUACGGGUGAAAGCAGGGGAUCUUCGGACCUUGCGCGAUUGAAUGAGCCGAUGUCGGAUUAGCUAGUUGGCGGGGUAAAGGCCCACCAAGGCGACGAUCCGUAGCUGGUCUGAGAGGAUGAUAAGCCACACUGGAACUGAGACACGGUCCAGACUCCUACGGGAGGCAGCAGUGGGGAAUAUUGGACAAUGGGAGCAAGCCUGAUCCAGCCAUACCGCGUGGGUGAAGAAGGCCUUCGGGUUGUAAAGCCCUUUUGUUGGGAAAGAAAAGCAGCAGGUUAAUACCCCGCUGUUCUGACGGUACCCAAAGAAUAAGCACCGGCUAACUUCGUG
rnacentral:rRNA from 1 species